CUUCACUUGGGAUAGUUAAAUUUUUAAAUCUCAUAGAAAGACCAGGAUGAAAUAACAAGAAUGGUCUUUUUAAUUCCAUUCUGGUGCUCUCCAGUAUCCCGCAGAUUAUAAAAUCCUUUUGGUAGGAGGAAAGAAAUAUCUCAUGGGAAUCCUGAGAAAAAGAAGGCAACUGUUAUUUAAUAAAGCUUGCAGUGCCAGUUUCUGUUAGAUCACAAUUGAAUGGAGGUGUUUAAUACUCCCUGUUCAUGAACUUCUGUGAACUUUUCAUAGGGCUUAAAUCUCCUGAUGUUAAUGGUUUGGAUCUGUGUUUGAGAACUGAGUUUGAAGGCUGCUAAACUUAAAAAGCCGUUAAUUUUCUAGUUUGUUUGUUGGGCAAAGAAAAUUCUUUGACUCCACUGGAAGUAAGAAAGCUGUAUGCCUUUUCUUCUGGACAAUGAAACUGGGCAAAUAUGUGGAAUGAAGCCUUUACACGGGACAUCGUCACGGAUUUAGUAUAAACAAACCCUGAGUAGCACUGAACAGUUGGCCAAACCUCAUGGUGGGUGUUUGCAUCACAUGGAGGUGCUGAGAGAGUUAUUCCUUUGAUGUGCAAAGCACUCACAGAAAGUCCUGAUUCUCUGAACACAGUAGGAGUGAAGCCCCAAGACAGCUUCUUGGCUCGGAGCUGUGUUUGUGCAGGGACCAGAACAUUGCUUUCUCAUGGAUUUGUGAAAGAACGACUGACAGGAGAUACCAUCAUUGCAAAAGGAACUAUUAACUUAGACACAGAUGGAUAGUUCUUCAUGAGCUGGCAGUACAGUCCCUCAGUGUGAGCUGCUGGGAUCGGCAUGGUGGCAUGAUGGAAAACUGUUCAGGUUGCUGCAUCUGUAAAAAUGCUUCGUUCCUGGAUUCCUCCUGGGACCUGGCACUUAGCUGUGCACACACAGACACCAAGUAAGUGAUGAUUUUGGGUAAGUGAGAGUGAAGUUGUUAGUCUGAGAGAUGAGUGUCCAAUCAAACAGGAUCCUUCCCCAUUCCCAUUAAAUUAGGCCAGCACCUCUGCUGUCUUUGAUAUCCUGAAUUUAAUUAAUGAGAGCAUAGGGAGAUUACAGUUCUCCUGGAUGGAAUCCACAUGCUUGUUCACUUAUUAUCACAAGAUAUAACAGUCUGUUCUUAUCAACAACUCCCUCUGAGCAAGGGUCUCAGAAACAGCCUUGUGUUUAGGGGCACCCCAUAACUAAAUUUCCCCUC
rnacentral:lncRNA from 1 species